GCAAGAUGGCUGCGGAGGGGGGCGCCCGGAGCAGCUGCGGAGGCCACAGCCCAGGGAUGGAAGCAGAGGAGACCCCCACGGGACCUGCGGGCCUGGCAGGAGCCAGCUGCGAUGUAUCCCACCUACGCAUGAGGCAGGUAUCGGUAGCUCUACCCCCCAUGGGCGGAGGGCCCAGGGACCACGGGCAACAUCACCCUAAGGCAGUGCAUCACACGG